UAUAGCAAAAAUCUCUCUAAAAAAGAAAAAGAAAUAUAAAUUUUUGGAUCCUAUCCUGUAUCUACUGAGUCAGAAAUAUGAAGAUAAGGUCCACCAAUCCAACCCGAGAGGAUUCAGGAGGCACUCUCCACAGGGUGUCCACAUUGGAUUCCAACCACCUCCACCCUGCGGCCAGCCAGGAUCACAGAUGGCAGCACAGAUGGAAAAAUACCAGAAAAACUCAGCAGGCCAGCUUCAGCAUCUGUGAACAGCCUCCAACAGCCUCCUCAACUCACUCUUCCUUCUUUUUCAUUUAUUUAUUUAUUUUAAAAAACCAAACCUGAGAUAAUGUCAGCAGGCUUCCUAAGACAUGCAGAGUACCAUCUAGGCAUGGCCAUUGGCAUCAUUACACUGGGCAUCUGAUACCUGCACACUCCAAGCCACCCGACUUGCUCUAAGUAUUGGAUUCAUAUAAGAGCUAUAACAGUGCUAUUUACUGACCCUCUUGUUAACUGAUGCUCUGAACCUGUUGUAAAUGAUCCCUGUGUCAUCAAAUACUGCACUGAAACUUAGGAAGUUAGCAUGAAGGUAAGUAGUGGUCCUUCAAAAGUGUACAAUUUAUGGUUGAAUUAAUAAUGCAAGAGAAAAGGAGUGAAAAGGUCUUAGAAGACCUUUAUACUUUACAUCAAAACUCCACAAGGCAUUUUUUUAAAACUUUACCCUUCAGAGGUUUAUUGAAUCUCUUCAUUAAACAAUGAAAUGGGGUCUACCAGCAAGGUGUUCUCAACAAAAUCUGCUGACAGAGAGAACAUAAGAAAACUGGCCCCUGCAGCAUAUGGCAUUUCAAGAGCUCAAAAGUGCUGCAAAGAACACUAAAUUGUUCAUGUGUAAUGAAAUGAACAGUAGCUAAAAUGUGACCUAUGCCUUUUAAACAGCAACAACAACAAAAAAAAAAUGACCAUGGAGAAUAAAAAUAUAGUCUAUGAAUAAACUGACCUGAG